GGAUUAGAUACCCUGGUAGUCCUAGCUGUAAACGAUGUUCACUAGAUGUGGGAGGUAUCGACCCCUUCCGCGUCGACGCUAACGCAUUAAGUGAACCGCCUGGGGAGUACGGCCGCAAGGUUGAAACUCAAAGGAAUUGACGGGGGCCCGCACAAGCGGUGGAGUAUGUGGUUUAAUUCGACGCAACGCGAAGAACCUUACCUGGGCUUGAACUGUCGGUGGUAAGACUCCGAAAGGAGAAUGACCCGCAAGGGAGCCGAUAGAGGUGCUGCAUGGCUGUCGUCAGCUCGUGCCG
rnacentral:rRNA from 1 species